CAGUCGCCACGGGAACACGAAGGGUGCAAGCGUUAAUCGGAAUUACUGGGCGUAAAGCGUGCGUAGGCGGUUUGUUAAGACAGAUGUGAAAUCCCCGGGCUCAACCUGGGAACUGCAUUUGUGACUGGCAAGCUAGAGUGUGGCAGAGGGGGGUGGAAUUCCGCGUGUAGCAGUGAAAUGCGUAGAUGUGCGGAGGAACACCGAUGGCGAAGGCAGCCCCCUGGGCCAACACUGACGCUCAUGCACGAAAGCGUGGGGAGCAAACAGGAUUAGAUACCCCUGUAGUCCCUGUCUCUUAUAC
rnacentral:rRNA from 1 species